AUGAUGGAGCCCCCCUCAUCCUGCAGUAUUCAAUGCUUCCUGGCUGAGUCCAGGGCCGACCAGCCCCUGGAGAUAGGGAUUCAGGAGCCGAGCCAGGGAGACCAAGAUACCCCGUCCAACUUCUGCCGACCUGGGAACAGUGAACUGGGAGAGGGACCAUCGUCCCCAAAGUUCCUGAACCUCCCUGGCCCAGGAUCGGCCUCAAGAGACACUGGCUCCCCCGUCAUCACGGAGAGUGACAUGGACCUCACAGCCGAUUUGUUGCCCUCUGGGAGGAUGCACUCCCAUCCACUCACUCUUCGGACCCCAGUGACUGAGAGCAUCCUUGGCCCUCCUUUGCCUGCUCCCUCACGGCCUGGGAGUCCCACCUCACAGGACCAGGAGAAGGAAGGGGUCGGUUCUGGCACCUUUGGCUCGAAAGCCCUGAGCCUCACAUCCACUUUGCCCUUCAGUCUGGGUACCAGUGGGGCCAUCUUCUUGGAAACACGGAAGCCACUGAAGGGGGACCCUGCACCUGAGAAGCCCUGGGGUCAAGCACAUUCCUGGGCAGGAGCCCCCUGGAGUCUGAGCUCAGACUCCAGACUGGGUCCUGUUCCUACUACUCUGCCCUGGGCUCUGGAUAAACCUUGGACCUUGCCUACUGACUCCUCUGCGUUACACAGGGAGGCACCGGAGCCUCCAUGGGCCUGUCCCUGGCCUGUGGACGUGAUGAUCAGGAAGGACCCAACAGGAGUGAUCCCUGGGGGGCAGGGAGAGCCCUUGGAUCCUGGGGCGGGACCUCAGGGAAAGGAGCAGGAGGGAGUAUCCUCAGAGGGACCUGGAGAGGACGCAGGAGAGGGGGAGAAUGGAUCGGUGGACAGGGGAGCCAGUUUAAAGGGAGAAGACUGCAAAACAGACUUUCAGAAGCCAAAGGCUGAUCAGGAGUGCUGGGUCAGUUCCCCGAAGCCCUCUGUGGAAGAGAGCUAUGGGCGCCAGGUACGGGAGGCGGGCUGCAUGCUUCUGGAAUGGCUCCGACGCCUCUUCCUGGACAGUGACGGCCACAGUUUUUCCCUACUGGACUCUGGCCUGGCCCUAACCACUGGUGGCCUUACCCUGACUGCUGGUAUCCAGGAACACUCCGGCCUGCGUGUGGCUUUCCUUACGAUGAGGAAUGGUCGGAAGCUAGGCAUGGCAUUCCCUGGCUCCAACCUCUUCUAUUACUACUCCUUGGGCCGCCACUUUUUUGUCACUGCCCAGCUGAGCAACCACUGGUUCCGAGUGCGAGACCGUGUUACUGGAGAGUGGAUGCUGAUGAAGAAGGUGCCCGUGGUCUCGGACUGGCAGAAGAUGCUCCAUCACUUUCUCUUCCUCCCCCCCGGGCCGGGGCUGCUGGUGCCCUACGCUGUUCUCUAUGACCGACAGGGCUCCCUGCUCUACCUUAUGGAGGACCCUGGAGUUCUGACCGUGGGGUGGCCGCCAGCGGCUCAGCAGCUGGACAGACUGAAGCGCCUCCCUGGAGUCCUGAGGGUCCUACAGUUCUGCCGACACCAAGCCUGCAGCUGGAGGAAGUGACUCAGCCCUGCUCCAUACCCACCAGGGAAUCCGUUUUGACCCCAGUGGACUCAGCAGCAAUGAAGGACCGUACUUCUUUAGGAAGACUUUGAGAAACGCCCUCCGGCUGGUAUGGAACACGCCACAGGUAUUGUUAGCCCUUCCCUCACCCUCCUCUCCCUCCAGCCCCCCAGGGAGACGCCACACUCACAUCCGUGUGCCCUUCCUUCCCCGGGCAUUUCCCCAGCCUCCCUGGGGGUGCUGGGAGUGAGGCAGAGGCGGACAGGAGCCAGGGCUCCUAGGGGGAAGGGGAAAGCGGCCCAGGCCUGGCCUUGGGAAGAGCUAGAGGCCGGCAGUCUCCAGAGUGACCUCUUCUCCCUGGGGACAGGAGGACACUCGAGCCACAGAGGCCUUGCUGGAGAGAAUGUGGAGGUGGCUGGAGGAGGACCUUGGCGACUGUGAGGAGCAUCUGGAUGAGGCCAGGACAUCUUCUCUCCAGGCUUGUACCCUGUGAACAAAGGCCAGCCCUCAGGGAACAGCACUGUAGAGCACCAAAGCACCCCAGCCUCUUAGAGUUGCCUCCUCAGACUGUUCUUCACUGCCCAUUUCACAGAAGGGGAUGCUGAGGUAGGGAGACUGUCCCCGCUUCCGUGGGACCCAAGAUCCUGAUUCCAGGCAUGCCCAGGGAUAGCGUCUAUCCCCCACAGAUCUGCCUCACACAAGGAGAACACUCUGGUCAUUCUCAGGGCUUUGCUCAGGGACCUGCUGGCCACAACUUCCUUAUUCACGUUGGGAGCCCAGCCACCCAGGCCCUGGGGUCCUUUAUCCAAGAACUGGGGGAGGGGGCUCCUUGCUCCCCUCUAACCUCCUCACACAAGUGCUAGGGGAAGGCAGGGCACCAGAGCUUUCCUGAAGAGAAGGGAAUGGCUCUGGGGGCCACCUCGGUGCUGUUUUUAUUUGGAAGACGCUGCCCCUCUCCUUCUCAGGCCUGGAUUUAUCCAAGAGCAGAAAUAUUGGCCAUCCCUCCCGCCCCUGGCCCAG
rnacentral:lncRNA from 1 species